rnacentral:rRNA from 1 species
CCUACGGGGGGCUGCAGUGGGGAAUAUUGGACAAUGGGGGCAACCCUGAUCCAGCCAUGCCGCGUGUGUGAAGAAGGCCCUCGGGUUGUAAAGCACUUUCAGUGAGGAAGAACGCCUGGUGGUUAAUACCCAUCAGGAAAGACAUCACUCACAGAAGAAGCACCGGCUAACUCCGUGCCAGCAGCCGCGGUAAUACGGAGGGUGCGAGCGUUAAUCGGAAUUACUGGGCGUAAAGCGCGCGUAGGUGGCUUGAUAAGCCGGUUGUGAAAGCCCCGGGCUCAACCUGGGAAUGGCAUCCGGAACUGUCAAGCUAGAGUGCAGGAGAGGAAGGUAGAAUUCCCGGUGUAGCGGUGAAAUGCGUAGAGAUCGGGAGGAAUACCAGUGGCGAAGGCGGCCUUCUGGACUGACACUGACACUGAGGUGCGAAAGCGUGGGUAGCAAACAGGAUUAGAUACCCCAGUAGUC